UUUUACAAUAAUGGUGGCCAAUAAACCGGUUGGCGAGUUGUCGCCAGGAUGGGUGUUAUAUUUCCACCUUUAUUAUUCAUAUUUAAUUUCGGAUUUGAUACUUCAAGAACUUUUAGGUGUCUAGAUUACAUCCAUUCAAUUCCAUCCAAAAUGCAUGAAAGCGUGGAAUUCAGAUACCCUAUUUUUAAAAAAAUUGAUGGAUCCGACUCGGACAUCGAUUCACCUACUGCCAUCCUACAGGCUCUAAUACAGAUGUAAGCAGUUUAUAGUUGAGUUUGAAAGCGAUACAAUUAUGUAGUAAUCAGC
rnacentral:lncRNA from 1 species